rnacentral:rRNA from 1 species
AGAUAAGUCGAAACAAAGUAGAAAAACCUGAAGGUUUUUCUAAAGGCGGUUAGAAUUUUCACUUACAAUGAAAAAUACCCUUUAGGGCGCUUUUAUAUUGGUAGAUAUUUAAUAAAGAGUAAGAAACUUUAGUGUGUGUACCUUUUGUAUCAGGGGAAGUUAAAAGUGUAAGUAAUAAAGGAUCGAUUUAAGCAGAGCUUUAUACAAAAUAGCUAUAGUUAAAUUUAUAGCUUUAAUGGGUUAUGUGGUGAAAAAUGUACGGUGCUUAUGGUAGCUAUUUGUUUUUUUAUUGAGGGGUAAGCUUUCAUUGACUUAAUUAUGUAAAAGGUAUAGGGAAUUAGGCUUUGUAUUAGCCAGAUUAUUAAAUUGUUUUAAAUAACCUAAUAGUGUAAGAUAAAUCUUAAGGUUAAAAGACUCGGCCUAUUAAUUUGGAUAGGUCUGAAUAAUGAGUUUAUUGAAUAUAGGAUGAAAUACUUAAAUAACUCAAAGUAAGUUAGAAUGUUUAGCAAAAACAUUUUCUUUUGGUGUAAGUAAGAUAAGACCUGCCCGGUGAUUUUUAACGGCUGCGGUAUUUUGACCGUGCUAAGGUAGCAUAAUCAUUU